rnacentral:lncRNA from 1 species
UCUCAUCGGGGCUCUGUGAUAGUAUAUUCAGUUAAGUCUGAUCAAAGAGAGACCAAUGCAUAGAUCCUGAGUCCUCAAAUCCUCGACCAUAUACUAUCACUCAUGGAAGUUCUAUUCUGAUUCAGGACCCUUAGAGCCUUCUCUCCAACCAAAGAGGUGGGGCAAUGAAUCUCGGCACCUUUCUUCAGUGAUAGAUUUGUAUUUGAAAUCUAGC